UACGUAGGGGGCAAGCGUUGUCCGGAUUUAUUGGGCGUAAAGCGCGUGUAGGCGGUCGGGCAAGUCGGAUGUGAAAGCCCCGGGCUCAACCCGGGAAGUGCAUUCGAUACUGCUUGGCUAGAGUACUGGAGAGGAUGGUGGAACUCUCGGUGUAGAGGUGAAAUUCGUAGAUAUCGAGAAGAACACCGGCGGCGAAGGCGGCCAUCUGGACAGAUACUGACGCUGAGACGCGAAAGCGUGGGGAGCAAACAGG
rnacentral:rRNA from 1 species